rnacentral:rRNA from 1 species
CUACGGGUUGCAGCAGUGGGAAUAUUGGACAAUGGGGGAAACCCUGAUCCAGCAAUGCCGCGUGUGUGAAGAAGGCCUGCGGGUUGUAAAGCACUUUCGGUUGGGAGGACUGCUUCUAGCACUAAUAUUGUUGGAAGUUGACGUUACCUUCAGAAGAAGCACCGGCUAACUCCGUGCCAGCAGCCGCGGUAAUACGGAGGGUGCAAGCGGUAAUCGGAAUUACUGGGCGUAAAGCGCGCGUAGGCGGCUAGAUCAGUCGGGUGUGAAAGCCCCGGGCUUAACCUGGGAACUGCAUCCGAUACUGUCUAGCUUGAGUACAGGAGAGGAGAGUGGAAUUCCACAUGUAGCGGUGAGAUGCGUAGAUAUGUGGAGGAACACCAAUGGCGAAGGCAGCUCUCUGGCCUGAUACUGACGCUGAGGUGCGAAAGCGUGGGGAGCAAACAGGAUUAGAUACCCCUGUAGUC